CAGCUUGGUGCAGAGGAGCCAUGAGAAGUGUCAUCUUCCUUCCCGGAAGCAGCUGGACCACAGUGCUCCCAAGGGGCAUUACUUUCUGCCGUGAGCUUGGUACAGAAGAAACCUGGCAGCAUCCUUCAUCAAUUGGGAAUACUGUUGUUGAUAUCAGCUUGAAGAAAGAUGAAAUAUGUUGGAGACCAAAGGAAGGAAGCCCCAGGGACCGAAGCCCCUGCCAGGGUCUCCUCAUAGUGAGUUAUUGCCAGGUAGUAUUGUGAUGGUCACAGACACUAACAGGACACAAAGAAGAUCCUGGAGAUCUGCUGGGCUCCACCCCAUCCCAGCAGUGCCACAAGGCCAGUCUAUAGUACCAACAGAUCCAGUUUUGUUUGGUUGUACCUUUUUUUUCCUUUUGUAGCGCUGGCGUUUUGCACUCUGGCCUUGUGCGUAAUUACUAGGCAUAUGCUCUAUCACUCCAGCCCUUUAUUUACUGUAGUAUAUUUUGCCUGGGUUGUUCUUGAUCCUGUUCUGGUUCCUUGUGUGGCUUGAAUUACAGGUGUGACCUUCCAUGGAGUUAGGGUCUCCCUCAUGUUUUUUUGCCCAGGCUGGCCUCAAAUUCUUAAUUUCAAAUGAUCCUACCACCUCAGCCUGUUAAUGCUGGGAAUAUCAGCACAUGCCCCACCAACCAGUCUUUUGUAUUUUGUUAUUCCUUGCCAUAAAAUGUCUUCUGACCCAUGUCAAUAAAUUUAAAAAUGUG